GGAGGAGAGAAGGAUGUCUCACUCUGACAGUUUCUCUGGAGCUCCUGGUGUCGGGCAGUUUGUGGUCCUCCCUUCCUGCGCCCCGUUUUCUCCCACAGCGUGAGACCUCCUGCUCGCCGCUCCUGUCUCUGCAGCUGUAGUCUCUUCAGUUCCUGGACACCUCACAUAUUACACGAAGUAUUUUUCUCCUCCUGAUGAUCCCGGUGGGUCCUCCGGUUGUUCCUCCGCAGCCUCCUCUCUCCUCCAGCCCAGUAUUUAUCGGACGGCCCCGGCGCUUUAGGCCGCGCAGUACGUCGCGGAACGGGAGCUCCGGUGGGGUCUAAACUGAGAGCGGGGCUAGCUGGUGGGCUAACGGAGUGUUAGCCGAGCAGGCAGCGGUGUAAGGGCUCGGUUCGCAGGGCAGCACAGGGAGCGCAGCAUGGCCGUGGGGGACCUCAGCAAGACGGGAGAGGAGAAGACAGCGACCCGCGGUCAGAGUGAAGUUAACAGACGGUUGAAGUACAUCAGCCUGGCUGUGCUCGUGGUCCAGAAUGCAUCGCUCAUCCUCAGCAUCCGGUACGUCCGCACGUUGCCAGGCGACCGCUUCUUCACCACGUCGGCCGUGGUGAUGGCGGAGGUCCUGAAGGUCCUGACGUGUCUGGUCAUCAUCCUACUGCAGAAGAGACUAAACGUGAAGGAGACGGUGUACUUCCUGAUCGACGUCAUCGUGGUUCAGUACAAAGACACUCUGAAGCUCGCCGUUCCUUCUCUCAUCUACACUCUGCAGAACAACCUGCAGUACGUGGCCAUCUCCAACCUGCCGGCCGCCACCUUCCAGGUGACCUACCAGCUGAAGAUCCUCACCACGGCUCUGUUCAGCGUGCUCAUGCUCAGGAAGUCUCUGUCCAGAGUUCAGUGGAUUUCUCUGCUGCUGCUGUUUGCCGGCGUCGCCAUCGUGCAGGUGCAGCAGGAGGGCAACAAAGAGGCGUCGGUGAAGGACACCUCCACUCAGAACUACACCGUGGGCUUGGUUGCCGUGGUGAUCAGCUGCUUGUCGUCGGGAUUUGCCGGCGUAUACUUUGAGAAGAUCUUGAAGGGCAGCUCCGCCUCCGUGUGGGUGAGGAAUGUGCAGCUGGGAAUCUUCGGCAUGGUGCUCGGCCUGCUGGGACUGUGGUGGAAUGAUGGCGCCGCCGUUGCCGAGCGUGGCUUCCUGUUUGGGUACACCAGCAUGGUGUGGUGCGUCAUCUUCAACCAGGCGUUCGGUGGGCUGCUGGUGGCCCUGGUGGUGAAGUACGCCGACAACAUCCUCAAGGGCUUCGCCACCUCCUUCUCCAUCAUCGUCUCCACGGUGACGUCCAUCUACCUGUUCGGCUUCCAUGUGGACGUACUCUUCACUGCAGGGGCGGGGCUUGUCAUCGGUGCAGUCUACAUGUACAGCCUCCCCAAAGCGCCUGCCGGCUCGGCGUCCGCAAGCUCCUCCUCCUCCUCAUCUUCCACGUCCGAGAAGACGGACAUAGACGCAGAGAUGGAGGCGUUUCUGCCAAAGUCAGUGCUGGUGAAGUGAUUCCUGUUUCUCUCUGCUCUCUCUCUUUCGGGCAUCUCACUUCCUGUGUGCUCUUGGCGGGGUCAAAGGUCAAACUGGGCAUCUAUCAGAAAGAAAGAGGUUCAUCUGCUGCUCGCUCACCUGCUUCCUCACCCCUCUGAUGGCCUCCCGAGUCAUCCUCCUCCUGACGUCCUGCUCGCCUUUUCCACACCUCCUCCUGAGCUCAGCCUUCCCUCCUGGCCUCCUUCUUUCCUUCACCUCCUAACCUCCUCGCCUCAUCUGGACUAUAGGAUACUGCGCUUUCUUCUCCCCCUUCCUUCUCCUUUCUCUGCACCCCUGAACAAAAAACACAGACCUCCUUGCUUCCUUUCUCCUCCUCCAGUAAUGUAAAGGAGGAGAAGAUGGCCUCCUCAGACCUAAAAACUAAACCACAUGCAUUGUGAUGCAGAGGAGAGCUGCUCCCUCCUGUAUCGUCCUCCUUUUUGGAGGAUGAGAGGAGCUCAGGGAGGCGUGUCUCCUCCCUCUGCUGUCCACAUCACAACCUAACUGCUCAAAGCACAACGGCAGCAAGAGGAAGAGAAGGAGGAGGAUGAGGAAGGAGCCGCAGAGUGUCAGAAACCCUCACCACCCUCAGUCUGUUUUCUCCUCCGCGGCGUCUCGCCAGCUCUGCCUUAAAACUCUUUAGUAAAUGAAAAGAGAAUCGCCUUACGCUGAAUAUCGUUCAUAUGUUGAUUAUUGUUGUUGCUGGUGGAGGACAACGGCAACCGUAGUCUGAUGGGAAGUUUUCACUGUGCAGCCCCCGUACAUUUAAAUUCCACCUUAAAACAGGAAAAAGGGACGGUUUCUAUGGGAGCCCGAAGUGUAACUUUGAAUAAGUAAUUUACAUGUUUGUAUACAAAAUGUACAAAGUAGCUUGAAGUGAUGUAAGAACUUUUAAAAUUCAAUACACAUUUUUAACCUAAAGGAAGUUCAGUGAAAAUCACAACAAUUUAAAAUAAAAACGCAGCAUUUGUAAAUAAAAGUCACAGAAAUGGAAGCAGAAUCGGAAAGUUAAAAUUUAGAAAGAUAAAGUGAUAAAAGUGUCAUUAUGAAAUGCAAGGAAGACAAAACUACAACAUUUAAUUAAAUUCAAUCAAAAGGUACAUUAAAAAUUCAACGUUUUGAAAGUUAUUUAGUCUUAUUUUAUUUUUCUGCAAUAAUCAGAAAUGAACUAAAGUCAUUUGAACUUUUGGCUCAUUUGUUAUCGUGUGUUGACUAAAAAAAGCUAAAUAUGUGGAGAAAUCAUAGUAAUGAAGACUAAAACCCUAAAUAACUCUCUGCUUUUGUUAAAACAUGCUUCCUUUUUUGUCUUUAAUUCCCAAAUUGCACAAAUUACCGCCCUUUACUUUUCUCGGCUGCACAGUGAAAACCUCCGGGGUAAAUCGUUGCUCCUCCGGGUGCGUCUCCGCUGAGGGACUGUUUGUGUUGGUGCCUUUUCUCCUCAUCUGUACAGAAGCCAUACGACUGUGUUGGUGUAAAGUUUGCGGUGUACAGUUACGGGACUGUCCGGGAGGCUUUGCUUUAUCUGCAGCUCCCGUGUCGGCGGGGAAUGUGCUCGUUGAUUGGAGCACCUUUAAACUACGAUCAUAACGUGAUGUUUGUUUGUUUUCGCCAAAAUGUCCUGCCGCAGGCGUCUUGUUGAAGUAGGCGUCCUGCGGUGGCGUCCUGAAUGUUUUUUCUGCUCCUGUUUGUCUCGAUCAUGUCGAGGCGGUUGUGGAUUUUUAUCUUCGUGUGUGUGUCUGAGCUGCGUCUCGGUGUUUACGUCGUUCAGCUUUGGGAGGAGAGGUUGAGUCGUUUUGGUCUCCUGAUCUCUGCAGCAGGUUAAGAUUCUGUGAUUACAGCAAGUUUUGUUUUUCCUCACAUCCACCACCGUCGCCGUGCAGCAGUUUGCCUCUGUUGUUGUUUAUUUAAAUCCUGCCAGCACUUGACGUAACCCCGUCUCUUCACGCUGGCCUGUUUGAGCCCCCGAUUGGACUGAUUGGUCCGUUAACACUCUCCAUUAUCAGCCAAUUACAUUAGCCAUCAAAACAUCUGUGUGGAGAAAAGAAAAAGCUCUAAAUUAAGAAGGAGCUGGAAGGAAAGCUAGCUGCUCCAUCUUUAAAGUCUUUAUACAGACACAGCAUUUACUGAACUACAUUUCAUUUAAAGCAGUUUACAGGUUAUUAUUGAAAAUAUAAAUCUACUAAUAAAUUCUACUAAAAUCUUGUUGAUUAAGCAGCUUAGCAUAAGUUUCCGUGUGAAGUGAGAUGGUCUGCACUUCAGGCUCUUGUAACUGCAGCUCGUGACAAACUGCAAGAACUGUUACUGAUGCUUAUAUGAAGCGCUAUUCACUAUAACUGUUUCAGGCUCCACAACACACUAUACAUGUAUGCAGUGGGACGUGGUUAUGGAUGGAGAUGAUUGAAAGUUGCUGCUCUCAUGAGUCGGCAGCGGAGUCAUGUUAACACCACCCACCACCAGUUUGGGCUGCAGCAGCGCCCCAUUGCUCUCUCUGUGCAGCAGGAAGUGGAUACAAAGGGGAAAGAGAGACGGAUGCUAGCAUGCGUGGUUCUGUCACGCUCGGCUGUGUCAGAGUAAACGCGUAUAACCAAAUGAGACGUGUGGCAGGCCUGUGGAUGCUAACCUGCCUGAGGGGAAGGUGCACUCUGCACAUUAAUCUGGCUUCGUGUGUGUGGUGUUAAAGUGCCACACAUUAACGUCUUGGAUUUGUUGUGCGUCCCUCGCAGCAGAUCUGUAAAAGCUUCUUACUUAAAAAGGAUUUUUUCCCCAGUGGAAUAUUUUUCUUGAAAAUGUUGCCAGAUUACACUAAAGAAGUUACAGUUCUCCUCACAUACAGUUAAACAUAAACCACUGAUGUGUAAAGAUGACAAACUCUCAAAUACAAGUUCACUAACUGAACCUCUGAUGUUUUUAUUGUGUCAGAAAAAAAACCCUCAAUUAAACCUAAAGUGGGAUAAAUGUAGCUCACAGUCUGUGAAUAUUAGGAGCUCCAUCAUUUCACGAGAAACUGACCUGACGACGGAGAAACGCGGAGACACAAACACGAAGCCACAUCUCCCAAAGCAUAAAAAUGAACUUUAAUUAUUUUUCCGAUUUUUUCUCAUGAUGAUUGAAGGCUCUUUUUCUGUUUCCAGUGUGAGAUUAUCAAAAUCAAACUGUGAAGGGACAAAAAAAUGUUACGUUUAUUUUCAGUUUUUGUAAAACAAGCAAACAAAAAACCUCCAGCUGACACUUUCUCUCUGGAAGUCUGAAAUUAAUAUCUAUCAUACAUAAUAAUAUAUAAGCUGUUUUUAUUUAAUGUGGGAAUCUUUGGGGUGGUGGUGAACGAAAGGAAGAGGAAACCCAGCAGGAAGCUUCAGAUUUCAGCCAGAAGAAGCUUUUUGUUCUAAGCUCUUCUUAAUGACAUAAAUUUCUAGUGAAAAUGAGUCCUUUGAGUUCUGUGCGGCUAAUAAAGGAUCAUUUCUGCACUUAUUAAAUGUUAUGAAUUGAUCGUUGUAGAUGAUCAUUUUAAUCUCAAACUGACAUUAAAAUGUCUUUAUGUAGAUAUCAGCUGAUUUAUAUCAGAGGAAUUAUGAUGGGAUGUUUAUUUUUCAUUAAACAUCACAUCAUAAACUUUACAUCUUUUUUUUUUUCAAUGUUUUCUUGUGAAAAUAUAAACUAGAAUCCCAAUUUUCUCUCUCGCAGUGGCUUUUUCCACCUUUUUAGAAUAACAAGACAACAUUGAUUCUUCUUUAUUCACUCGAGGUAGAAACAGUGAUAAACAUCUACUUCUGCUCUGUAAAAUAAUCCUGUCACAUCUUACAGAUUCACAGAAAAAUAACUUGUUUGUUCCUCUUUACGUUUACUUUACCUUAUUUUCUCUACAUUAAAAACUAAAAUAUUGCAAAUUACAUAAAAUAAAUUUUAUAUAGAAAAUGAUAUUGACACAGGCUGAUAUCACUUUAAUUACAUGAAAAUCCAUAUUCAUUUUAUUUGAUUGUUUUUGCUGAAACGCAGAUACUCCAAAGUCAGUUUCCAGGUUUUCUCUCCGCUGACGCUCUGCAGCGCCUCCUGCUGGCGGUUUUAAACCACAUCCUCGGAUCAGAUCCUGCUGCGGUUGUUUCCCGAGGUUGGUUUGUCCUCGGUGGAGAUCUGCCUGCAGGAUCGGGUUUAGUUUCCUCUUCCUGCUGGUUUGAGUUUGUGUGAAAUCUGUGUGAGCUGGUUUCAUCUCUGAUCUGUUUGCACUUGAUUGUUGAUUUGUAUCAAUGCCUCUGAAUUUGUAAAUACUUCCUUUGGUAAAAGUUUUAUAUAAAUGAAGACAUGGACUAAAAA